rnacentral:rRNA from 1 species
GGGGAAUAUUGGACAAUGGGCGAAAGCCUGAUCCAGCAAUGCCGCGUGAGUGAUGAAGGCCUUAGGGUUGUAAAGCUCUUUUACCCGGGAAGAUAAUGACUGUACCGGGAGAAUAAGCUCCGGCUAACUUCGUGCAAGCAGCCGCGGUAAUACGAAGGGGGCUAGCGUUGUUCGGAAUUACUGGGCGUAAAGCGUGCGCAGGCGGCUUCUCAAGUCAGUGGUGAAAGCCCGGAGCUCAACUCCGGAAUUGCCAUUGAAACUGUGGAGCUUGAGGACGAGAGAGGUGAGUGGAAUUCCCAGUGUAGAGGUGAAAUUCGUAGAUAUUGGGAAGAACACCGGUGGCGAAGGCGGCUCACUGGCUCGUUUCUGACGCUCAGGCACGAUAGCGUGGGGAUCAAAC